CUAUGAUAUUAAAUCCCACAGAAAAGGUAUUUAACGACUUUAAUAAUACUGGCAGAUGCCUCACUUAGCAAAAUUACAGUUGGCAACACUGGAAGGAAUGCUCGAAGGAAUUUUUCACAGCAAACGGCAAGUUAAUUUUUGUUAUUUCAAUCGAUAUUUAUGUUUAGCCAGGCCUAAAAUUUGUGAAUCUGUCAUUUAAUUUUAUAAUAUAUUAAAACAUUGUUGACACUGUCUUUGUUAUUCAUAUCUGCUCUGGACUCUGAUUCUGGUCAAAGAGAUUUUGAUCACGCUUCAUAUAAAGCAUCAUAGUGAGUUUAUAAUACUG